AUGAAGUGCUAUCUGGGACAACUGAUGGAAGAGAAGAGCCAAGGUUUGGAGCUGCAGGUAAAAACUAUGGUUGAGUUUCAAAGGAGAUUUGAGCAGCUGAUGGAGAGGAGGCUGAAUGGAAAACUGCUAGAUGAGGAAAGUGGCUAGUGGAGCCAUGUGACAGCAAGAACCAGGCAGAGGAAAAGACCACCUAGUGAAGGGGAAAUAGAGGUGAAGAACAGAUUUGCUGAGUUGCAAAAUGAAGAAUGAACAUAGCAGGCAGUAAAAGAAGGUGGGAGGGCAACAAAAAAGAGAAGAGUGGCUAGUCCUAUACGAAAGCCAGAGUUUAGAAUCACAGGAGGAUAGAGGAUGAUUGACAGAAGACUGCAAGUAAGAGCAAAGGAUGAGAGGACUUGCCGCCAGAAAAAACUGAAGGAGGAAGGCCAGAGAAUUGCACCAACACCAGGAAGAGGCAGGUCUGUGUGAUUAGGGACUACCUACUAAGAAAGACAGGCCUGUCACCAGAGCUGAUCUAGGGAACAGAAGGGUGUGUUGUAUGCUGGGAGUUAAGAUAUGGGAUGUGGACCUGAGGCUGCAGAGGAUCCUAAUGAGAGCAGGAAAGAAUCCACUGAUUGUCCUUCACACCCUGCACACUGUUGUAGUAAUCUGUUUGUACAAAGUAUGCCCUGUAGAGUAUCAUUUGAAAACUUUUAUAACUUGCUGGUCAGUAAUUAUGGUUGUAAAACGUGUGGCAACACUGUAUGUGAAGUUUUAAGGUUCCCCUGAAUGAUAUUACUAACAUGUUCCAAAUGCCACAGCCCUGCCCAGGCAGAAGUGAGGUCUGUCCUAAACAAAGGAAGUAAUGUGUGCUUGCCUUAAUUUUAAUUUAAACAAUAAACAAAGUCAUCAAGCAGGGAGGGAAACAAAUGAAGUUUCAACAGGUGGGGAAAAAAAAACCCAGCAGGGAAUAGCCUGCCACAUAGACUCUUGGUCUCAGCCAGAAAUGUUUUUCAAGAGGGCAACUGAUAUUAUGAAAAGAAGAGACAAUCCAAUACAUCCCCCUCUCUCUUCCUGCCCAUUACACUCUCUGCACCUGAGAAGAGAAAAGGGAAACAGCUGUUGGAUGCUGGGGGAGGGGUCCUGACCUGAGAGUUUGACCAGUAAUCUGCUGGAGCAUGUGCUGAGAAAGUGUGCUUUGCAACUAAGAUAGUUUCUUAAGUAGAUAUUAAAAAGUGUUUUGUCUCUGUUUUUCUUGUAACCAUUUCUGGCUUUUAUACCUCAUUACUUAUAGACACUUCAGAUCUCUUUAAUAAACUUGUUUUACUGUUUUA